AAACCACCAAUACCAACGGGUGAUAACUUACCUGACUGCACGGGUGUGAGUACGGGGGUCACACUCGUGAA